CCUACGGGUGGCAGCAGUGGGGAAUAUUGGGCAAUGGGCGCAAGCCUGACCCAGCAACGCCGCGUGAAGGAAGAAGGCUUUCGGGUUGUAAACUUCUUUUCUCAGGGACGAAGCAAGUGACGGUACCUGAGGAAUAAGCCACGGCUAACUACGUGCCAGCAGCCGCGGUAAUACGUAGGUGGCGAGCGUUAUCCGGAUUUACUGGGUGUAAAGGGAGUGUAGGUGGGACUGUAAGUCAGAUGUGAAAACUACGGGCUCAACCUGUGACCUGCAUUUGAAACUGUAGUUCUUGAGUACUGGAGAGGCAGACGGAAUUCGUGGUGUAGCGGUGAAAUGCGUAGAUAUUAGGAGGAACACCAGUGGCGAAGGCGGUCUGCUAGACAGCAACUGACGCUGAGGCGCGAAAGCGUGGGGAGCAAACAGGAUUAGAUACCCUUGUAGUC
rnacentral:rRNA from 1 species